rnacentral:rRNA from 1 species
UACCAGCUCUCCGAGUGGUAGGGAUGAUUAUUGGGCUUAAAGCGUCCGUAGCCGGCUAAGCAAGUUUCCUGUUAAAUUCAGCGACCUAAUCGUUGAGCCGCGGGAAAUACUACUAGGCUAGGAGGCGGGAGAGGUCGACGGUACUUCUGGGGUAGGGGUGAAAUCCUAUAAUCCCGGGAGGACCACCAGUGGCGAAGGCUGUCGACUAGAACGCGCUCGACGGUGAGGGACGAAAGCUGGGGGAGCGAACCGGAUUAGAUACCCAGGUAGUCCCAGCUGUAAACGAUGCGGGCUAGGUGUUGGGGUGGCUACGUGCCACUUCAGUGCCGCAGGGAAGCCAUUAAGCCCGCCGCCUGGGGAGUACGGCCGCAAGGCUGAAACUUAAAGGAAUUGGCGGGGGAGCACCACAAGGCGUGAAGCUUGCGGUUC